rnacentral:siRNA from 1 species
UCAGGAGGGACCUCAACGUG